rnacentral:ncRNA from 1 species
UGCAUUUAUCAGACCAAAAACCGGCCGCGUCUUCGGGCGCGUUCGCCUUGGUGACUCUGGAUAACUUUGCGGAUCGCACGGUCUAGCACCGGCGACGGAUCAUUCAAGUGUCUGCCCUAUCAACUUUCGUCGGUACGGUAUUUGCCUACCGAGGUUCUUACGGGUGACGGGGAAUCAGGGUUCGAUUCCGGAGAGGGAGCCUGAGAAACGGCUACCACAUCCAAGGAAGGCAGCAGGCGCGCAAAUUACCCAUUCCCGACGCGGGGAGGUAGUGACGAAAAAUAACAAUGCAGGACUCGUUCGAGGCCCUGUAAUUGGAAUGAGUACACUUUAAAAGCUUUAACGAGUAUCCAUUGGAGGGCAAGUCUGGUGCCAGCAGCCGCGGUAAUUCCAGCUCCAAAAGUAUAUAUUUAAGUUGUUGCGGUUAAAAAGCUCGUAGUUGGAUUUUGGGCGCAGGCGGCCGGUCCGUCGCAAGGCGUGUACUGGACGUCCUGGCUUUCCCUCCGGUUCUCCGCCGGUGCUCUUGACUGAGUGUCGGCGGCGGCCGGAACGUUUACUUUGAAAAAAUUAGAGUGUUCAAAGCAGGCUCUCGAGCCUGGAUAAUGGUGCAUGGAAUAAUGGAAUAGGACCUCGGUUCUAUUUUGUUGGUUUUCGGAGCGCGAGGUAAUGAUUAAGAGGGACAGACGGGGGCAUUCGUACUG